UACGUAGGUGGCAAGCGUUAUCCGGAAUUAUUGGGCGUAAAGCGCGCGCAGGCGGUUUCUUAAGUCUGAUGUGAAAGCCCACGGCUCAACCGUGGAGGGUCAUUGGAAACUGGGAAACUUGAGUGCAGAAGAGGAAAGUGGAAUUCCACGUGUAGCGGUGAAAUGCGUAGAGAUGUGGAGGAACACCAGUGGCGAAGGCGACUUUCUGGUCUGUAACUGACGCUGAGGCGCGAAAGCUAGGGUAGCAAAC
rnacentral:rRNA from 1 species